GACGGGGGGGGCAAGUGUUCUUCGGAAUGACUGGGCGUAAAGGGCACGUAGGCGGUGAAUCGGGUUGAAAGUGAAAGUCGCCAAAAACUGGCGGAAUGCUCUCGAAACCAAUUCACUUGAGUGAGACAGAGGAGAGUGGAAUUUCGUGUGUAGGGGUGAAAUCCGGAGAUCUACGAAGGAACGCCAAAAGCGAAGGCAGCUCGUCUGGGUCCCUACCGACGCUGGGGUGCGAAAGCAUGGGGGAGCGAACAGG
rnacentral:rRNA from 1 species